rnacentral:rRNA from 1 species
AUGAACGCUGGCGGCAUGCCUAAUACAUGCAAGUCGAACGGACUUGAGGAGAGCUUGCUUUCCGCAAGUCAGUGGCGAACGGGUGAGUAACACGUAGGCAACCUGCCCAUGUACCCGGGAUAACAGACGGAAACGACUGCUAAAACCGGGAUAGGUAAGAGGGAGGCAUCUUCCGCUUAUCAAAGCACCCAAGGGUGUGGACAUGGAUGGGCCUGCGGCGCAUUAGCCGGUUGGCGGGGUAACGGCCCACCAAAGCAAUGAUGCGUAGCCGACCUGAGAGGGCGAACGGCCACAUUGGGACUGAGACACGGCCCAAACUCCUACGGGAGGCAGCAGUAGGGAAUUUUCGUCAAUGGAGGGAACUCUGAACGAGCAAUGCCGCGUGAGUGAAGAAGGUCUUCGGAUCGUAAGGCUCUGUUGCAAGAGAAAAACGACAAGCACAGGGAAUGGUGAUUGAGUGAUGGUAUCUUGCGAGGAAGCCACGGCUAACUACGUG